rnacentral:rRNA from 1 species
AAUUUGACUCAACGCGGGAAAUCUUACCGGGUCCGGACACACUGAGGAUUGACAGGCAAUAUCUCAUGGUUAUUAACCGUAAUGGUUAUUUAUUUAAUAGCCAGCGGUUAAUUAGCAUCGAGGUUAAAUAUGCUAGUCCUUUCAUGAUUAUGUGAUAGGUGGUGCAUGGCCGUUCUUAGUUCGUGGAGGAUCUGUCUGCUUAAUUGCGUUCACUAAGGGCCCAUAAAUUCAAGGAUGUUACUAUCGUCCUCUAUGGACCCUUAUUCACUGCUUUAAUUAGUUUGUUUAAGCGCGCGUCUUUAUUUAAGAGUUUAAGACACUGCGCAUGCUGUUGGGCUCUGAAAGCAACGAACGUGACCGCAACGUCUUGUUGCCUUAAUAAAGUGGCUUUAAAUACGAAU